UACGAAGGGUGCAAGCGUUGUUCGGAUUUAUUGGGCGUAAAGCGCGCGCAGGCGGACUUGUAAGUCAGGUGUGAAAUCUCGGGGCCUAACCCCGAAAGUGCGCCUGAAACUGUAGGUCUAGAAUAUCGGAGAGGUAAGGGGAAUUUCUCAUGUAGGGGUAAAAUCCGUAGAGAUGAGAAGGAACACCGGAGGCGAAGGCGCCUUACUGGACGAUUAUUGACGCUGAGGCGCGAAAGCGUGGGGAGCAAACAGG
rnacentral:rRNA from 1 species